UACACUCCUACGGGAGGCAGCAGUGGGGAAUAUUGGACAAUGGGCGCAAGCCUGAUCCAGCCAUGCCGCGUGAGUGAUGAAGGCCCUAGGGUUGUAAAGCUCUUUCACCGGUGAAGAUAAUGACGGUAACCGGAGAAGAAGCCCCGGCUAACUUCGUGCCAGCAGCCGCGGUAAUACGAAGGGGGCUAGCGUUGUUCGGAUUUACUGGGCGUAAAGCGCACGUAGGCGGACUAUUAAGUCAGGGGUGAAAUCCCGGGGCUCAACCCCGGAACUGCCUUUGAUACUGGUAGUCUUGAGUUCGAGAGAGGUGAGUGGAAUUCCGAGUGUAGAGGUGAAAUUCGUAGAUAUUCGGAGGAACACCAGUGGCGAAGGCGGCUCACUGGCUCGAUACUGACGCUGAGGUGCGAAAGCGUGGGGAGCAAACAGGAUUAGAUACCCGUGUAGUCCCAUG
rnacentral:rRNA from 1 species